AUACGUAGGGGGCGAGCGUUGUCCGGAAUGAUUGGGCGUAAAGGGCGCGUAGGCGGCGCGGUAAGUCUGGAGUGAAAGUCCUGCUUUCAAGGUGGGAAUUGCUUUGGAGACUGGUUGGCUUGAGUGCGGAAGAGGUAAGUGGAAUUCCCAGUGUAGCGGUGAAAUGCGUAGAGAUUGGGAGGAACACCAGUGGCGAAGGCGACUUACUGGGCCGUAACUGACGCUGAGGCGCGAAAGCGUGGGGAGCGAACAGGAUUAGUUACCCUGGUAGUCCACGCGGUAAACGAUGAGUGCUAGGUGUAGGGGGUAUCGACCCCUCCUGUGCCGGAGUGAACACAAUAAGCAUUCCGCGUGGGGAGUAAGGCCGCAAGGUUGAAACUCAAAGGAAUUGACGGGG
rnacentral:rRNA from 1 species